UAACAAGGAAUCCAGGCUAAGAACGCCACAUCCUGUGGCAAGGCCUGAGUGACCCACAUCCU
rnacentral:sRNA from 1 species